ensembl:miRNA gmo-mir-194b gmo-mir-194b
UGUAACAGCAUCUCCAUAUGGAUGAGUGUCUGGUGUCCAGUGGAGCUGCUGUUAU